UUUACAGUCUUCACAACAGCCAGCACUCUGACAACCAGUACAACUUCUCCACCAACAUUGUUGGGAAAAGUUUAUAUAAAUAUUAAAUUGGUGUUUAUCACAUUGGGCCAAAUACCAAGUGAAGCCAGCAUUCUACAGUUGGCCAAAUCUUUGAUUAGCCCACGUUACAGCACUAAAGAAUUCUCAACACGAACCCAGGAUGCGAGCCUUUUGAAUGUCACCUAUACAAGAAUUAAUGAUACAUCCUAUGCUCUCACAUUUGGAUUUGAAAUCAGCAAUAUAUCCAUGUCUGAGA